GAUUAAGUUAUUAAGGGCGCACGGUGGAUGCCUUGGCACUAGAAGCCGAUGAAGGACGUUACUAACGACGAUAUGCUUUGGGGAGCUGUAAGUAAGCUUUGAUCCAGAGAUUUCCGAAUGGGGAAACCCAGCAUGAGUUAUGUCAUGUUAUCGAUAUGUGAAUACAUAGCAUAUCAGAAGGCACACCCGGAGAACUGAAACAUCUUAGUACCCGGAGGAAGAGAAAGAAAAUUCGAUUCCCUUAGUAGCGGCGAGCGAAACGGGAAGAGCCCAAACCAACAAGCUUGCUUGUUGGGGUUGUAGGACACUCUAUACGGAGUUACAAAGGACGACAUUAGACGAAUCAUCUGGAAAGAUGAAUCAAAGAAGGUAAUAAUCCUGUAGUCGAAAAUGUUGUCUCUCUUGAGUGGAUCCUGAGUACGACGGAGCACGUGAAAUUCCGUUGGAAUCUGGGAGGACCAUCUCCUAAGGCUAAAUACUCUCUAGUGACCGAUAGUGAACCAGUACCGUGAGGGAAAGGUGAAAAGCACCCCGGAAGGGGAGUGAAAUAGAACCUGAAACCGUGUGCUUACAAGUAGUCAGAGCCCGCUAAUGGGUGAUGGCGUGCCUUUUGUAGAAUGAACCGGCGAGUUACGAUUUGAUGCAAGGUUAAGCAGUAAAUGUGGAGCCGUAGCGAAAGCGAGUCUGAAUAGGGCGUUUAGUAUUUGGUCGUAGACCCGAAACCAGGUGAUCUACCCUUGGUCAGGUUGAAGUUCAGGUAACACUGAAUGGAGGACCGAACCGACUUACGUUGAAAAGUGAGCGGAUGAACUGAGGGUAGCGGAGAAAUUCCAAUCGAACCUGGAGAUAGCUGGUUCUCUCCGAAAUAGCUUUAGGGCUAGCCUCAAGUGAUGAUUAUUGGAGGUAGAGCACUGUUUGGACGAGGGGCCCCUCUCGGGUUACCGAAUUCAGACAAACUCCGAAUGCCAAUUAAUUUAACUUGGGAGUCAGAACAUGGGUGAUAAGGUCCGUGUUCGAAAGGGAAACAGCCCAGACCACCAGCUAAGGUCCCAAAAUAUAUGUUAAGUGGAAAAGGAUGUGGCGUUGCCCAGACAACUAGGAUGUUGGCUUAGAAGCAGCCAUCAUUUAAAGAGUGCGUAAUAGCUCACUAGUCGAGUGACACUGCGCCGAAAAUGUACCGGGGCUAAACAUAUUACCGAAGCUGUGGAUUGUCCUUUGGACAAUGGUAGGAGAGCGUUCUAAGGGCGUUGAAGCAUGAUCGUAAGGACAUGUGGAGCGCUUAGAAGUGAGAAUGCCGGUGUGAGUAGCGAAAGACGGGUGAGAAUCCCGUCCACCGAUUGACUAAGGUUUCCAGAGGAAGGCUCGUCCGCUCUGGGUUAGUCGGGUCCUAAGCUGAGGCCGACAGGCGUAGGCGAUGGAUAACAGGUUGAUAUUCCUGUACCACCUAUAAUCGUUUUAAUCGAUGGGGGGACGCAGUAGGAUAGGCGAAGCGUGCGAUUGGAUUGCACGUCUAAGCAGUAAGGCUGAGUAUUAGGCAAAUCCGGUACUCAUUAAGGCUGAGCUGUGAUGGGGAGAAGACAUUGUGUCUUCGAGUCGUUGAUUUCACACUGCCGAGAAAAGCCUCUAGAUAGAAAAUAGGUGCCCGUACCGCAAACCGACACAGGUAGUCAAGAUGAGAAUUCUAAGGUGAGCGAGCGAACUCUCGUUAAGGAACUCGGCAAAAUGACCCCGUAACUUCGGGAGAAGGGGUGCUCUUUAGGGUUAACGCCCAGAAGAGCCGCAGUGAAUAGGCCCAAGCGACUGUUUAUCAAAAACACAGGUCUCUGCUAAACCGUAAGGUGAUGUAUAGGGGCUGACGCCUGCCCGGUGCUGGAAGGUUAAGAGGAGUGGUUAGCUUCUGCGAAGCUACGAAUCGAAGCCCCAGUAAACGGCGGCCGUAACUAUAACGGUCCUAAGGUAGCGAAAUUCCUUGUCGGGUAAGUUCCGACCCGCACGAAAGGCGUAACGAUUUGGGCACUGUCUCAACGAGAGACUCGGUGAAAUCAUAGUACCUGUGAAGAUGCAGGUUACCCGCGACAGGACGGAAAGACCCCGUGGAGCUUUACUGUAGCCUGAUAUUGAAAUUCGGCACAGCUUGUACAGGAUAGGUAGGAGCCUUUGAAACGUGAGCGCUAGCUUACGUGGAGGCGCUGGUGGGAUACUACCCUAGCUGUGUUGGCUUUCUAACCCGCACCACUUAUCGUGGUGGGAGACAGUGUCAGGCGGGCAGUUUGACUGGGGCGGUCGCCUCCUAAAAGGUAACGGAGGCGCUCAAAGGUUCCCUCAGAAUGGUUGGAAAUCAUUCAUAGAGUGUAAAGGCAUAAGGGAGCUUGACUGCGAGACCUACAAGUCGAGCAGGGUCGAAAGACGGACUUAGUGAUCCGGUGGUUCCGCAUGGAAGGGCCAUCGCUCAACGGAUAAAAGCUACCCCGGGGAUAACAGGCUUAUCUCCCCCAAGAGUUCACAUCGACGGGGAGGUUUGGCACCUCGAUGUCGGCUCAUCGCAUCCUGGGGCUGUAGUCGGUCCCAAGGGUUGGGCUGUUCGCCCAUUAAAGCGGUACGCGAGCUGGGUUCAGAACGUCGUGAGACAGUUCGGUCCCUAUCCGUCGUGGGCGUAGGAAAUUUGAGAGGAGCUGUCCUUAGUACGAGAGGACCGGGAUGGACAUACCUCUGGUGUACCAGUUGUCGUGCCAACGGCAUAGCUGGGUAGCUAUGUGUGGACGGGAUAAGUGCUGAAAGCAUCUAAGCAUGAAGCCCCCCUCAAGAUGAGAUUUCCCAACUUCGGUUAUAAGAUCCCUCAAAGAUGAUGAGGUUAAUAGGUUCGAGGUGGAAGCAUGGUGACAUGUGGAGCUGACGAAUACUAAUCGAUCGAAGACUUAAUCAA
rnacentral:rRNA from 1 species